CAGCAGCCGCGGUAAUACGUAGGGUGCGAGCGUUAAUCGGAAUUACUGGGCGUAAAGCGUGCGCAGGCGGUUAUAUAAGACAGGUGUGAAAUCCCCGGGCUCAACCGGGGAACUGCAUUUGAGACUGUAUGGCUAGAGUGUGUCAGAGGGGGGUAGAAUUCCACGUGUAGCAGUGAAAUGCGUAGAUAUGCGGAGGAAUACCGAUGGCGAAGGCAGCCCCCUGGGAUAACACUGACGCUCAUGCACGAAAGCGUGGGGAGCAAACAGGAUUAGAUACCCCCGUAGUCCCUGUCUCUUAUAC
rnacentral:rRNA from 1 species